UUCGGAUCGCAGGCUGCAACCCGCCUGCGUGAAGUUGGAAUCGCUAGUAAUCGCGGAUCAGCAUGCCGCGGUGAAUACGUUCCCGGGCCUUGUACACACCGCCCGUCACACCAUGAGAGUCGGGAACACCCGAAGUCCGUAGCCUAACCGCAAGGGGGGCGCGGCCGAAGGUGGGUUCGAUAAUUGGGGUGAAGUCGUAACAAGGUAAC
rnacentral:rRNA from 1 species